UCCAUGGUGUUCAAGUUUUGGGGAGAAAAAAAGAGAGAAAAAUUAUUUUUUUUAAUUUUUCAAUAGUCCAGUUCAAGAAUUGAUUUCUUGAUUUAAUUAAAAGAAGGUGCCCAUUCAUCGAUUUAGUCUUGACUUUGGACAAUACCAUAGAAGACUUGGAGAUUUGAACCACCAAGUUCUUGAAAUUAGAAGGAAAAAGUUGGAAGUUCGUGAUUUAGAAUAGAUUCAAGAACUUAUCAUCGAAUUUAGAUACAACAUCAACUAGAAUCAAAGUUUCAAAAGAAAAAACUCUUCAAUCUCUUCGAUGGCUUCAUGAUCAAUCUCAUUUGAUUUUUCUUCUUCUUUCAUUUAAAAAAUAGAUGUAUGAAAUUAUAUGGAUGUUUUGUAAAGUUUCCUCAAAGCUGGAACGAAUGUGGAUUUAAUGAUCAAAAGAUUCAUA